CCAAACUAAACUACACGCCAAACAAAAUAAAAAGCUAUAAUCAGUACGAACACACUGACAUACACGCACACGUGCCCGCUUAAUGACACUUCCAAUCAUGGCCGCCUGCGAGGGAUGACCCCUGAGUGAUGUCAGAGCAGGUUCACGACUUCACGUGCAUUUUACUAGCAGUACGAAGAAAUCUAAAAGCAAGAAAAGUGUCAACAACAUUUUCAAAUAAAUAGUAAAUCUUAUACAAAUUAUAAA